CGGGUGAGUAAUACAUAAGUAACCUGCCCUAGACAGGGGGAUAACUAUUGGAAACGAUAGCUAAGACCGCAUAGGUACGGACACUGCAUGGUGACCGUAUUAAAAGUGCCUCAAAGCACUGGUAGAGGAUGGACUUAUGGCGCAUUAGCUGGUUGGCGGGGUAACGGCCCGCCAAGGCGACGAUGCGUAGCCGACCUGAGAGGGUGACCGGCCACAUUGGGACUGAGACACGGCCCAA
rnacentral:rRNA from 1 species